rnacentral:rRNA from 1 species
ACGGAAGGCAGCAGUGAGGAAUAUUGGUCAAUGGGCGGAAGCCUGAACCAGCCAAGUCGCGUGAAGGAUGAAGGUAUUAUGUAUUGUAAACUUCUUUAGCAGCAGAGUAAUAAGGGGGUCGUGACCCCCGAUGCAAGUAUGCUGAAAAUAAGGAUCGGCUAACUCCGUGCCAGCAACCGCGGUAAUACGGAGGAUCCGAGCGUUAUCCGGAUUUAUUGGGUUUAAAGGGUGCGCAGGCGGUUUUUUAAGUCAGUGGUUAAAUCGUGAGGCUCAACCUCAUCACGCCAUUGAUACUGGAAGACUUGAUUGCGGUUGAGGUUGGCGGAAUUCGUCGUGUAGCGGUGAAAUGCAUAGAUAUGACGAAGAACACCGAUUGCGUAGGCAGCUGACCAAGCCGUAAAUGACGCUCAUGCACGAAAGUGCGGGGAUCGAACAGGAUUAGAUACCCUGGUA